rnacentral:rRNA from 1 species
UACAGAGGGGGCAAGCGUUGUUCGGAAUUACUGGGCGUAAAGGGCGCGUAGGCGGCGUGCUAAGUCGAACGUGAAAUCCCCGGGCUCAACCCGGGAACUGCGUCCGAAACUGGCAUGCUUGAAUCCGGGAGAGGGAUGUGGAAUUCCAGGUGUAGCGGUGAAAUGCGUAGAUAUCUGGAGGAACAUCGGUGGCGAAGGCGGCAUCCUGGCCUGUUCUUGACGCUGAGGCGCGAAAGCUAGGGGAGCAAACGGG